AAGAGUCAACCAGGAGAGAAAGGAAGGGCGUUCCAAGGAGAGAAAACAGCAGAAGCAAAGGCACAGAGGAAAGAAAGGAGAUGGCAUGUUCAAAUAAGGGAAAUUCAUUGAGGCAGCAAGGGAGAGAGGGAAGGGUACAUCAGGCCAGGCCAUAAGGGAAGCAUUUCUUGACAAAAUACGAGUUUAGACUUUGUCCUGCAGGACAACUUUUCCCAAGACCUGUUCUGUAAAGCAUUCACCGUGGAAGAUGUAAGGCGCCGCUUCAUGAACAAAACCAGCACACCAGUAAAUUUGGGAAGUGCUGGGUUGAGCUAAGGUGAGCUCUUUACUCGCAGACUCUUGCACACCUUUAACAGACUAAGGGGUCUCUCCCCAUGAGAAGGAGAAGAGUAUAGAACAUUUUUUGGAAAAGUUUGUCCCACAACCUCGAUGUUAAAUUUUGUAUUGUAAUGAAAGUCCUUAGAUAUGAACAAGAAAACUGGAAAUAGAAAAUUCAUUGUCGCGGAUUCGAGCCAAGAUGGCCAAUUAGGAACAGCUCCCAUCUGCAGCUCCCAGCGUAAGCAAUGCAGAAGAUGGGUGAUUUCUGCAUUUCCAUCUGAGGUACCAGGUUCAUCUCACUAGGGAGUGCAAGACAGUGGGUGCAGGACAGUGGGUGCAGCGCACCAUGCACGAGCUGAAGCAGGGCGAGGCAUUGCCUCACUCGGGAAGCACAAGGGGUCAGGGAGUUCCCUUUCCUAGUCAAAGAAAGGGGUGACAGAUGGCACCUGGAAAAAUCGGGUCACUCCCAGCCCAAUACUGCGCUUUUCUGACGGGUUUAAAAAUGGCACACCAGGAGAUUAUAUCCCGCACUUGGCUCGGAGGGUCCUAUGCCCACGGAGUCUCGCUAAUUGUUAGCACAGCAGUCUGAGAUCAAACUGCAAGGCGG
rnacentral:lncRNA from 1 species